rnacentral:rRNA from 1 species
UACGUAGGUGACCAGCGUUGUCCGGAUUUACUGGGCGUAAAGAGCGCGCAGGCGGUCGUUCAAGUCGAGUGUGAAAGCCCCCGGCUCAACUGGGGAGGGUCAUUCGAUACUGAUCGACUUGAAGGCAGGAGAGGGAAGUGGAAUUCCCGGUGUAGUGGUGAAAUGCGUAGAUAUCGGGAGGGAAACACCAGUGGCGAAGGCGGACUUCCUGGCCUGUUCUUGACGCUGAGGCGCGAAAGCUAGGGGAGCAAACGGGG